UACGGAGGGUGCGAGCGUUGUUCGGAAUUAUUGGGCGUAAAGAGCUCGUAGGCGGUUCGGCAAGUCGGGUGUGAAACCCCCAGGCUCAACCUGGGGACGCCACCCGAUACUGCUGUGACUUGAGUCCGGUAGGGGAGCGUGGAAUUCCUGGUGUAGCGGUGAAAUGCGCAGAUAUCAGGAGGAACACCAGCGGCGAAGGCGGCGCUCUGGGCCGGAACUGACGCUGAGGAGCGAAAGCGUGGGUAGCAAACAGG
rnacentral:rRNA from 1 species